GCCCAGACUCCUACGGGAGGCAGCAGUGGGGAAUAUUGGACAAUGGGGGGAACCCUGAUCCAGCGACGCCGCGUGAGUGAAGAAGUAUUUCGGUAUGUAAAGCUCUAUCAGCAGGGAAGAAAAUGACGGUACCUGACUAAGAAGCCCCGGCUAACUACGUGCCAGCAGCCGCGGUAAUACGUAGGGGGCAAGCGUUAUCCGGAUUUACUGGGUGUAAAGGGAGCGUAGACGGUGCAGCAAGUCUGAUGUGAAAGCCCGGGGCUCAACCGCGGGACUGCUUUGGAAACUGUUAAGCUGGAGUGCAGGAGAGGUAAGUGGAAUUCCUAGUGUAGCGGUGAAAUGCGUAGAUAUUAGGAGGAACACCAGUGGCGAAGGCGGCUUACUGGACUGUAACUGACGUUGAGGCUCGAAAGCGUGGGGAGCAAACAGGAUUAGAUACCCCAGUA
rnacentral:rRNA from 1 species